rnacentral:lncRNA from 1 species
CAUAAGCCACAAGCCAAGCAGCCUCGCAACAUGUGAUAGUUGAGCAUCAUUUCGGAUUGGACACCGCCUCAUAUCAAGUAUCAGUCCUAGACAACAUCUAGUUACUUCGGUCCACACAUGGACUGAAUUUCAAGUCUCCAGCCCAAAGACUCUCUGGACUGAAGACUUGGAGGACUACUGUUUAUACCAUACUUAGGGCCUCCGUAUUUAGACCUUGUAUAAAUACUCAGGGGACUUAAAUGUAAUUAUGUAAUAAAGGAAGGGGCAAAUGUAAUAAGUGAGGAGCCCUUAUUCUAUAAAAGGACUCAUCACCCUCACAAUUAGGGGAGGCCAAUUCCUAGGCCCUCUCACCCCCUCUCAAAGCUCUCACUUUCAGAGCUCUCUCCCUCAAAUAAAUACAUAAUCAGUGUGGAUGUAGCCCAAACCUUAGGGUGAACCACGAUACAUCUUGUGUUAUUUACAUUUCAUGCAAAUUCACAGUCGGAUUUACGUUUUUUCAAGACCUCCGGUUUUAUGCAUCAACAAUUGGUCACGCCAAUAAUAAUUCGACAUACAGAUUUUUGGUUCAUAAAUCUGAAAUUGCAGACAUUCAUGUAAAUACAAUACUUGAAUCUGCAGAAGCUGAGUUCUUUGAGGACAUUUUCCCUUACAAAGAUAGGUCAUAUG